rnacentral:rRNA from 1 species
CCUACGGGAGGCAGCAGUGGGGAAUAUUGGACAAUGGGGGGAACCCUGAUCCAGCCAUGCCGCGUGUGUGAAGAAGGUCUUAGGAUUGUAAAGCACUUUAAGUUGGGAGGAAGAGCAGUUAACUAAUAUUUGACUGUUUUGACGUUACCGACAGAAUAAGCACCGGCUAACUUCGUGCCAGCAGCCACGGUAAU